GACGAACGCUGGCGGCGUGCCUAACACAUGCAAGUUGAGCGACGAACCAGGGUUUGCCCUGGGGCAAAGCAGCGAACGGGUGAGUAACACGUGGGUAACCUACCCCGAUAACCGAGACAACCCGAGGAAACUCGGGCUAAUACCGGAUGUGCUCACUGGACUUCGGUUCAGUGCGUAAAGGAAGCUUCGGCCUCCGUAUCGGGAGGGGCCCGCGGCCCAUUAGUUUGUUGGUGAGGUAACGGCUCACCAAGACCGCGAUGGGUAGCUGGUCUGAGAGGACGAUCAGCCACACUGGGACUGAGACACGGCCCAGACUCCUACGGGAGGCAGCAGUGGGGAAUCUUGCGCAAUGCGCGAAAGCGUGACGCAGCAACGCCGCGUGGGGGAAGAAGGCCUUCGGGUUGUAAACCCCUUUCAGGAGGGACGAAGGUUCGGCGGUGAAUAGCCGUCCGGACUGACGGUACCUCCACAAGAAGCCCCGGCUAACUACGUG
rnacentral:rRNA from 1 species